rnacentral:rRNA from 1 species
UGCAAGUCGAGCGGACAGAUGGGAGCUUGCUCCCUGAUGUUAGCGGCGGACGGGUGAGUAACACGUGGGUAACCUGCCUGUAAGACUGGGAUAACUCCGGGAAACCGGGGCUAAUACCGGAUGCUUGUUUGAACCGCAUGGUUCAAACAUAAAAGGUGGCUUCGGCUACCACUUACAGAUGGACCCGCGGCGCAUUAGCUAGUUGGUGAGGUAAUGGCUCACCAAGGCAACGAUGCGUAGCCGACCUGAGAGGGUGAUCGGCCACACUGGGACUGAGACACGGCCCAGACUCCUACGGGAGGCAGCAGUAGGGAAUCUUCCGCAAUGGACGAAAGUCUGACGGAGCAACGCCGCGUGAGUGAUGAAGGUUUUCGGAUCGUAAAGCUCUGUUGUUAGGGAAGAACAAGUACCGUUCGAAUAGGGCGGUACCUUGACGGUACCUAACCAGAAAGCCACGGCUAACUACGUGCCAGCAGCCGCGGUAAUACGUAGGUGGCAAGCGUUGUCCGGAAUUAUUGGGCGUAAAGGGCUCGCAGGCGGUUCCUUAAGUCUGAUGUGAAAGCCCCCGGCUCAACCGGGGAGGGUCAUUGGAAACUGGGGAACUUGAGUGCAGAAGAGGAGAGUGGAAUUCCACGUGUAGCGGUGAAAUGCGUAGAGAUGUGGAGGAACACCAGUGGCGAAGGCGACUCUCUGGUCUGUAACUGACGCUGAGGAGCGAAAGCGUGGGGAGCGAACAGGAUUAGAUACCCUGGUAGUCCACGCCGUAAACGAUGAGUGCUAAGUGUUAGGGGGUUUCCGCCCCUUAGUGCUGCAGCUAACGCAUUAAGCACUCCGCCUGGGGAGUACGGUCGCAAGACUGAAACUCAAAGGAAUUGACGGGGGCCCGCACAAGCGGUGGAGCAUGUGGUUUAAUUCGAA